CCCCAGCAGGGCUCAGGACGGUGCCUGGCUGUCAUAGGUGGGAGGGGCAGACGGCCCCCGCACACGUGCACAGCAUGCACAGGGGCACACGGACGUGCUUGCACAUGCGUGUGGGUGCCUCCAAGCGUGCAGGCGACAGUCAACCGAUGCCUACGUAGAGGGGCAUUUUGGAAACGACGUGUACUUUAAACUGCAGGGAGCAGACGGCGGAGGCUUGUGCCCGCAGUCCCCCCGGCCGCGCCCAGCGGGGAACCAGCCUCCAAUCACUUCCUUCCACUGAAAUGAAAAAUGAAAGUAAUUCACAGAAAAGAGUGCUUUACCAUUUUGACAAAAAGGUCACUGAUGAGCUGACAUGAAAUUCCCGGGAACCCUCCACGAACCGAGGAAACAGUGGGCAGUUCCUGAUCUCCGCAGGGGAAGCGCCAUCCGCGAGAUGUGAUGUGUCAGAAGCACCGUCACAGACCCGUCCAGCUUCUUGAUGGAAUCCAGCCCAGAGCAGCGUCCCCUCCCCAGAGCCACACGACACAAGCCACAUCCUGAAACGAGGUCCCCAUUCCAGAGAGUCUGUGUCCCCCGCUGUGCGUGGCCUCCUGCUGCCAUGAGCCCCAGAGCCAGGCCAUCACACCACAGGUGCCAAACUGACUUGUAAAAGGAAAAAU
rnacentral:lncRNA from 1 species